ACGAACGCUGGCGGCGUGCUUAACACAUGCAAGUCGAACGGAAAGGCCCUGCUUUCAGGGUACUCGAGUGGCGAACGGGUGAGUAACACGUGGGUGAUCUGCCCUGCACUUCGGGAUAAGCUUGGGAAACUGGGUCUAAUACCGGAUAGGAGCCAUCUUUAGUGUGGUGGUUGGAAAGUUUUUUCGGUGUAGGAUGAGCUCGCGGCCUAUCAGCUUGUUGGUGGGGUAAUGGCCUACCAAGGCGGCGACGGGUAGCCGGCCUGAGAGGGUGUACGGCCACAUUGGGACUGAGAUACGGCCCAGACUCCUACGGGAGGCAGCAGUGGGGAAUAUUGAACAAUGGGCGCAAGCCUGAUGCAGCGACGCCGCGUGGGGGAUGAAGGCCUUCGGGUUGUAAACUCCUUUCGCUAGGGACGAAGCUUUUUGUGACGGUACCUAGAGAAGAAGCACCGGCUAACUACGUG
rnacentral:rRNA from 1 species